rnacentral:rRNA from 1 species
AUUGAACGCUGGCGGCAUGCCUUACACAUGCAAGUCGAACGGCAGCACGGACUUCGGUCUGGUGGCGAGUGGCGAACGGGUGAGUAAUGUAUCGGAACGUACCUUUCAGUGGGGAUAACGUAGCGAAAGUUACGCUAAUACCGCAUAUUCUGUGAGCAGGAAAGCAGGGGAUCGAAAGACCUUGCGCUGAUUGAGCGGCCGAUAUCAGAUUAGCUAGUUGGUGGGGUAAAGGCCUACCAAGGCGACGAUCUGUAGCGGGUCUGAGAGGAUGAUCCGCCACACUGGAACUGAGACACGGUCCAGACUCCUACGGGAGGCAGCAGUGGGGAAUUUUGGACAAUGGGGGCAACCCUGAUCCAGCCAUGCCGCGUGAGUGAAGAAGGCCUUCGGGUUGUAAAGCUCUUUCGGCCGGGAAGAAAUCGCAUAGGCUAAUACCCUGUGUGGAUGACGGUACCGGAAUAAGAAGCACCGGCUAACUACGUG